CCUACGGGCUGCAGCAGUGGGGAAUAUUGCGCAAUGGGGGAAACCCUGACGCAGCAACGCCGCGUGAGUGAAGAAGGCCUUCGGGUUGUAAAGCUCUUUAAUCAGGGACGAAGAAUGCGGGUACCUGAAGACUAAGCUCCGGCUACCUACGUGCCAGCAGCCGCGGUAAUACGUAGGGAGCAAGCGUUACCCGGAUUUACUGGGGGUAAAGGGCGUGUAGGCGGGCUUGCAAGUCAGAAGUGAAAUCUGGGGGCUUAACCCCCAAACUGCUUUUGAAACUGUGGGUCUUGAGUGAGGGGGAGGCAGGCGGAAUUCCCAGUGUAGCGGUGAAAUGCGUAGAUAUUGGGAGGAACACCAGUGGCGAAGGCGGCCUGCUGGACAUUAACUGACGCUGAGGCGCGAAGGCGUGGGGAGCAAACAGGAUUAGAUACCCUAGUAGUC
rnacentral:rRNA from 1 species